UCCGGGGUCGUCUAGCGGCAGGACACGCGGCUCUGAACCGCGUCACGUUGGUUCGAAUCCAGCUCCCGGAA
rnacentral:tRNA from 1 species